rnacentral:rRNA from 1 species
GACGAACGCUGGCGGCGUGCUUAACACAUGCAAGUCGAACGGAAAGGCCCUGCUUUUGUGGGGUGCUCGAGUGGCGAACGGGUGAGUAACACGUGAGUAACCUGCCCUUGACUUUGGGAUAACUUCAGUAAACUGGGGCUAAUACCGGAUAGGAGCUCCUGCUGCAUGGUGGGGGUUGGAAAGUUUCGGCGGUUGGGGAUGGACUCGCGGCUUAUCAGCUUGUUGGUGGGGUAGUGGCUUACCAAGGCUUUGACGGGUAGCCGGCCUGAGAGGGUGACCGGCCACAUUGGGACUGAGAUACGGCCCAGACUCCUACGGGAGGCAGCAGUGGGGAAUAUUGCACAAUGGGCGGAAGCCUGAUGCAGCAACGCCGCGUGCGGGAUGACGGCCUUCGGGUUGUAAACCGCUUUCGCCUGUGACGAAGCGUGAGUGACGGUAAUGGGUAAAGAAGAACCGGCUAACUACGUG